GAGAAUCAGGUAAAAAGUUUUUGUGAACUGAGAUCUAUUCAGAUUCUGAGGAAAAGCCACAGAUCCAGAAAAUCUCCCCCAUGACCAGCAGCCACAGCCUCCCACCUGUCCUCCACCUUCACUCCCACCUGUCCUCCACCUUCACUCCCACCUGUCCUCCACCUUCACUCCCACCUGUCCUCCACCUUCACCAUCUCAUCCACCAGCUGCUCUGUGUUCACCUGUAGCUGUUUAGUCCAGCCAGUAACUCCACUAACCGACUCCCUUCAACUGGAAAUUCCUCUAUCAGACUGAAGCAUUCUGUGUAACGUCUUCAAAGCCUUAAGGAGUUGAAGGAGUCGGCCUGGGAAACCCCAGGAUGCUGCAAGUCGUUCUGACCCGUCUGACAGUCACUGGUUCUGCUGAAGAGAUGGACUCACUGGAUGAGCUCGGCCUUCCAGCCUCCACUGCAGAGAAAUUAGAAGUCCUGAACCAAAAACUGGAAUCAGGAGCUGUUCAGAAAUAAAUGCUGGAUCUCAGAAGGACCUGAUCUGCUGUCUGCAACAUUUUAUCCAAGAUCCUUUCAAACCACCAAGCAGAGCAGCAGAGAUCUAUUCAGACUGGGUGGAGAGAGAAGUCUUUCUGGUCACCAGCUCUUGAUGACUGAAAUAUUUAGGGUUGUACCAAAGAACCAAGCGUCUGAUUCAGAACACCAAAAGUUUUAAGGCUCAAGGUUGUCUGGUUUGUUUUUUUGUUAUUAUUUUGUGCAUGUUUCCUGUCUUUUUGGUACAUAUGUAUACAUAAAUGUGAUUAUCAUAUUUUGUU